GGGAGAGGUGACCAGGAGUUCAGCUGGGCCCUGGGACGCUCCCCUGGCUCUCUGGCAGCUAAGCUGCUCAGGUUGGGGCAACAGUUACAGUUCCGGAUGAAAAGUACACAAAGUUCCACUCCCUUCUCUCCAACACACCCCUUUGAUUUUUUUUUUUCUUUCUGCACCUUGAACCUGCCCAACAGGUUGCAAAGUUCAUCACAGCAUCGGCAAGGCUUAUUCUCAAGCCAUCUGAUUAUUUUAUGUGGCACCAGAUGUUCACUGGAUGUUGAGACUGCAGGUAGCCUUAGCACAGAAGCCAACAGUGAAACCAUUACUCCCUUAAGUUCUCUCGAAACUUGGAAAGAUGUCCUCAGCUUGCCUAGUUCUAGAGCGUGAAGGUGUAUCAUAGGACAUGUUACUGGUGCACGAACAGGAAAUAACGUUGUCAGCCAUUCCUGC